ACUUCUGGAUCCUGCUCGGGCUGUGAUAGGACAGCGCGGGGGCAGCGGGGGAACACGCGGGCACGCCGAGAUCCGGCGCUCGGGACCCCGAUGAGGGGAGGCCUUUCACUCCUGGGGUGUCACGCGACCCACGCUUUCCUCCAUGUCCACUCCCACCCCCCAUGGGUUCCACUUUGCUGUCCCCCGAGCUGCCGCUCCUCCCCAGCAGACACCGUCUCCGCCGGGGCUGCCGACCCCCGGAGAGGCCCCGAGCGGCGUGGGCGGCGGGAGGAGGGAGCUGUGAAGCCGCAGGCAGGGGGUUAGGCUGCGGGCUGCUGAGACGCCGAGCUGUUUCUCAGAAGUGCAGCUGCCCCUCCCCUCACACCCCCCUCACUCCCACCGCGCGCCGCACCCCUGCCCCCUCUCCGCCGGCCUCCCUUUCCUCUCCCAGGCACCCUAGCCGGGAAUCUGGGGUCUGGGUCCACGCAGAAUUAAGAGGAGAACCUGAGAAAGGGCGGGGGCCGGGGGUUCAGACCCAGCCUCAGCGCGCGUUAUUCCGAGCCUCCUAUAAUUCCACAGCUUGAGCAAGACUGGGAAACCUGUAGGAGACCCUCAGCCAGUUUGAACAUUUUGGAGUGCUGAUGGGAGGGAGAUGAUGCUGAUCAUGGAGCCAGAGG
rnacentral:lncRNA from 1 species